CUAGGAUAUAAGGUUCCCUGCAGGCUGUAGACUGCCUCUUGCAGCCCGCAUGUCGUGGAGGUCGGACGGAGGCGGUGUGUGCGGGUGCUGUGCGGCCCUGCGCCAUGCGCCUGCAGUAGGAUGGCUCCGCACUCCAGUGUGAAUAUGUGAUAACUGAAUCUGCAGAGGUUCUAAUGGGAUCUUUAACAACAGAUCUUGAAGCAUCAGACGUCUGAGGAAAAGUCUUCCCAUGAGUGGGGAACAGAUGAUUGCCCCAGCAUCCUGACAAGCUUCCACCUUCAACAAAAUCUAAUGUGCUAACUUGUUGACAGAGGAAUGGACUCUUCCAAUCAACCGGGACAAAGUUGUAUCGGCAAGAAGAUGCUACAGCAUUCUUGAGGACAGUCCU